GUUCUCAGCACCCAUGGGUGCUCGGUGGUGGUCCCAUGGUUGGUGUCAUCUUGUUCUUGGCACCCAUGGGUGCUCUGGGGUGGGUUUCUGGUGGUGUCGUGUCCUCCUCAGCACCCAUGGGUGCUCGGCGGGGGCCUCAAGGGUGGUGUUGUGUCCUGCUCGGCACCCAUGGGUGCUCCAUGGUGGUCCCAUGGAUGGUGUCACGUUGUUCUUGGCACCCAUGGGUGCUCUGGGGUGGGUUUCUGGUGGUGUUGUGUCCUCCUCAGCACCCAUGGGUGCUCGUGGUGGUCCCAUGGGUGGUGUCACGUUGUUCUCAGCACCCAUGGGUGCUCGUGGUGGUCUCAUGAGUUUCUGGGUGGUGCUGUGUCAUCCUUGGCACCCAUGGGUGCUCCGUGGUUGCCUUCCAGAUGGUGUUAUGUCCUCCUCGGCACCCAUGGGUGCUCGGUGGUGGUCCCAUGGGUGGUGUCAUCUUGUUCUUGGCACCCAUGGGUGCUUGGUGGUGGCCUUCUGGGUGGUUUUGAUGUCCUCAGCACCCAUGGGUGCUCAGCGGUGCCUGGAGGCAUUGGCCUGAGGGCUUUGUGGCCAAUGGGUGCUGCUGGUGACCCAUGGGUGCCCCCAUGACCCAUGGGUGCUCUUGGUGGUCAAUGGGUGCUCCCCAUGACCCAUGGGUGCUGCUGGUGGUCCCAUGGGUGCCCCCCCUGCCCAAGGCCUGACCCCGCUGCCUGUGGGCAUCUCCAGGACUUGCGCACCCGAAACACCUCGGGGUGCCCCGCAGCACCUUGGGGUGCCCCAAUAACACCCCCAAGGCGCCCCAUAGCACCCUUGGGUGCCCCAUAGCACCUUUGGGUGCCCUAUAACCACCUCAGGGCGCCCCCUACCACCCCUUAGACCACCCCCUACCACCUUGGGGCACCCCAUAACACCCUCAAGGCACCCUGUAGCACCUUUGGGUGCCCCAUAACACCCCUUAGACCACCCCCUACCACCUCAAGGUGCCCCAGAGCACCCUCAAGACACCCCA
rnacentral:lncRNA from 1 species